UUAAAGUCUAACCUGCCCACUGAAAUUUUAAAUGGCCGCAGUAUUCUAACUGUGCAAAGGUAGCAUAAUCAUUAGUCUUUUAAUUGAAGGCUGGAAUGAAUGGUUGGAUGAAAUAUUAACUGUUUCAUUUAAAUUUUUUAUAGAAUUUUAUUUUUUAGUCAAAAAGCUAAAAUUUAUUUAAAAGACGAGAAGACCCUAUAAAUCUUUAUAUUUUUAUGUAUUUUAAUUAUAAAGAUUAUUUUAAUUAUAAUAUAUAAAAAUAUUUUAUUGGGGUGAUAUUAAAAUUUAAAAAACUUUUAAUUUUAAAAAAUCAUUGAUUUAUGAAUUAUUGAUCCAUUUAUAGUGAUUAAAAAUUUAAGUUACUUUAGGGAUAACAGCGUAAUUUUUUUGGAGAGUUCAUAUCGAUAAAAAAGAUUGCGACCUCGAUGUUGGAUUAAGAUAUAAUUUUGGGUGUAGCCGUUCAAAUUUUAAGUCUGUUCGACUUUUAAAUUCUUAUAUGAUCUGAGUUCAAACCGGCGUAAGCCAGGUUGGUUUCUAUCUUUAAAAAAAUAAAAUAUUUUAGUACGAAAGGACCAAAUAUUAAAAUAAUUAUAUUUAAAUAAAGAAUAUUAUUAAUUAUU
rnacentral:rRNA from 1 species